rfam:Alistipes sp. An116 An116_contig_20, whole genome shotgun sequence.
GGUCCCGUAGCUCAGUUGGAUAGAGCAGCAGAUUUCUAAUCUGCCGGCCGCGCGUUCGAGCCGCGCCGGGAUCA